CAGUAGCCACGGGAAUACAGAGGGUGCGAGCGUUAAUCGGAUUUACUGGGCGUAAAGCGUGCGUAGGCGGCUUUUUAAGUCGGAUGUGAAAUCCCUGAGCUUAACUUAGGAAUUGCAUUCGAUACUGGGAAGCUAGAGUAUGGGAGAGGAUGGUAGAAUUCCAGGUGUAGCGGUGAAAUGCGUAGAGAUCUGGAGGAAUACCGAUGGCGAAGGCAGCCAUCUGGCCUAAUACUGACGCUGAGGUACGAAAGCAUGGGGAGCAAACAGGAUUAGAUACCCGCGUAGUCCUGUCUCUUAUACA
rnacentral:rRNA from 1 species